rnacentral:lncRNA from 1 species
UCGUGUUGAUGAAAAUGAAAAGUUGGAUCUCGACAUUGAUGGAUUGAGGGCAAAGAUCAAAAGUCUCUUUAAUUUUCCUCAUGAUUCUGAUCUUACACUUACUUAUGUUGAUGAAGAUGGUGACAUAGUAACUCUUGUUGAUGAUGAUGAUCUGUGUGAUGUAAUGAGGCAGCGUCUUAAGUUCUUGAGGAUUGAUGUGCACCUGAACAAUGACAAAUUUGGUAAAGCUUAUGCUAGAUCAAGUGGAAGUUCUACUCCCUUGAGAUCCCCGCGAAUCCAGCAUCCAUUACCUGACAUCGACAGUAAGAUUUCUGAAAUUCUGAAAUCUGUGCCAGAGCCACUGCGUGAAGCCAUAUCAAAGCUAUCUACUGACGUUGCUUCAAAGGCUGCAUCCACCAGUCCAAUGAUUGCUGAUCUUGUUGGGUGUUUUUCAAAAAUGGGCCUGUCCCACGUGAAUGUAGUUCCCCAGUCCCAAUAUGGUGCAGAAUCAAGUGGGAAGGCAGAGGCUUCUGAAAAUCUAAUGGCUCAUUCAGUUUCUAAUGAUCCAAAUGUGUCAAAAGAUGAUGGCCUGAGGGAAGUUUUGCCAAAGACAAACCUGAAGGAAGUUUUUCCAAAGACAAGCCUGAAGGAAGUUUUGCCAAAGACAACAGCUGUGGAUUCAACUUCUAAAAGUAGCAAAGAUGUUGAUAUUGGGAUUGCAGCUCGAGGCGUAGGAGUACUUCUCUCUUCUGUUGACCUCAAUCUUCCACCGGUUGAUUCUGCUCCAUCUGGAAGCACCAUGAGCAUUGCUCCUCCUGCAUCCAAUAUUACAGCUGGUGAUGACCGGAUGGAUGCUAAUGAGAAUAAUGUUCAUCAAACUACCAGUGUUCCUAUGUCCACAAGUUCUGUUGAUCCUAUGUGGCCUUCUGAUGUAAAUCAACCUCGUACUACUGAUUUGGGUGGUAAUCUUUCUACCAACUGCCCAUUUAGUGGGAUUCCAGUAGCAAAUGAGUCUGCUGGUAGUUCCCGGCAUCCUCGCCGUGGUCAUUUCAAGCGGGGCUUUAAUCGUGAUGCCUUGAUGGGUAUGUUCCAUAAGGGUGUUCGUUGUGAUGGUUGUGGGGUUCAUCCAAUUACUGGACCUCGAUUCAAAUCAAAAGUGUAAGAAAAUAUCCAAGCUUUGGUUGGUGUUUAAUGGAUGUUUUAUGUCAGAUGCUAACAGUGUAGUUUUUGUUUUCUUCUGCAGGAAAGAUGAUUAUGACCUGUGCAGCAUCUGCUUUGCAGCUAUGGGUAGUGAAGCUGAUUAUAUUAGAAUCGAUAGGCCGGUUCAUUAUCAAUAUCGACAUCCACGACCUUUCAGAGGGUUAUAUGAUCAUGUGUGUAUACUCCUCAACUGUUCAGUACCUUAAUUCUUCCAUUGUGUUUACUGACGUAUUCUUAUUUGUUUUCUCCUCACUUGAAGAGACAGAACUUUUGGCUGGGAACCCCAGGCCCAGAUACACAACAUGUUGGUGCACUAGGAGCUCCACACAUUUUGAGAGAUCGUGGAAUCAAGCCUGGUCGUUCUAGGUUAGACAGUUGCUUUAUUUUGGAUGUUAAUGUAUUGGAUGGGACUAUGAUGGCUCCAUCUACCCCAUUUACAAAGAUAUGGAGGAUGCGCAAUACUGGUAAUUUGGCUUGGCCUAGGGGUUCUCAACUUGUGUGGAUUGGGGGCGAUAAGUUUAGUGAUGGAGUUUCAGUUGAGAUAGAGGUUAGCAAGUUUAAUUCUGUUAUGUUUUGGAAAUGUUUUCAAGUUCAUUUUCAACUUUUGUUAUACUUGACAUCAAUGGAAAGUAAUUCCUGAGUGUUGCAUGGGCAUUUUUCAUACAUUCAAUUCAUUUCAGGUUCCUGCUGAUGGUGUGCCGGUGGAGGGGGAGAUUGACAUUGCAGUUGAUUUUACUGCUCCUGAAUUGCCUGGUCGUUAUAUCUCUUAUUGGAGGAUGUCCUCACCAUCAGGGGUCAAAUUUGGGCAACGUGUAUGGGUUCUUAUACAGGUAUUGCGUGCACUUGAAAGCAUUGCCAUUUCUUUUGAAGCAUAUGCUUUUGAUAAUUUGGUUGCUUCUUAUAAAAUUCCUUCCUGAUUAUUCCUUGUAGGUUGAUCCCUCUCUGAAGGACAGCAUUAGUGAUGGCUUUGGAGGCUUGAACUUGAAUGUUCCCCCUGAGAGCACUAGGUCUAAUGGUGCUGAAAUUAUUGAUGUGAAUGUUCGGCCUAUUGUGGAUGGAGGCUUUCAGGAGCCUAGCAACUCCUUCAGUGUGAAGGAGCCAGCAAAGCCAGGGGUUGAACAGCCUAAAAAGGAGCAGGAGAUGAAUGUUCCUCUAAAUGAUAGCUUGCUGGUUGGGCACGGUGGUGCUUCAGCUUCUGCUCCUCCACCUCCACUCCCCCGUUCAGAGGCUACUUCAACAGUGUUGUAUCCCAUUAUUGACCUGGCUGAAUCAGAAGCCGAUGAGACAUCUCAUCCAGCAGUCUCUUUUACCGGUUUACCAACAUCAUCUGAAGAGAUCCGUAGUGAUAAAGAUGCUGUUGAGCAGACCCUCCUCAGGGAACUCGAGGAGAUGGGUUUCAAGCAGGUUGAUUUGAACAAGGAGAUAUUGAGGAUGAAUGAGUAUGACUUGGAGCAGUCUGUGGAUGAUCUCUGUGGUGUGUCUGAGUGGGAUCCAAUCCUCGAGGAGUUGCAGGAGAUGGUGAGUUCCUAUGUCAAAACUGUGAUGAAGUGUAGGAAUGUUUUGUUUUCUCUCUGUUUUAUCUUUCCUUUCCUCCCUCUGUGUAUAUGGAUUUCCAGUAAGGAGAGACCUACAGAUAUUGAAUCCCCAUUUGGUUUGUGUUACAGGGUUUCCAUGACGAAGAAACUAACAAGAGGCUGCUGAAGAAGAACAAUGGGAGUAUCAAGGGUGUGGUGAUGGAUCUUCUUACCGGGGAGAAAGCUUAGUUGAUCCCAGUAGUAUAUAUAUUUAUGAAUAAAAUGUUGAGACUAAAACAUGAUAUGGAUGAUUACAGUUUAGAUGUCCAACAUCUUCUUUGGUGGUAUUUGGAAUCGGAUCAUUGUUAAGUAAAUAUGGAAUUAUUAAAUAGUAUUGUAUAGUUCGACUUUAUCCAUUCCUUGGUUUUUCCUAUGCGCAACUUUUAUAUGUAUUCUGUUCUGCUGCUUUACUGUCUGGUUCUGAUUUAGGUCUUAAAAGAAGACUCUUGGGGUUUGGGCAUGAUUAAGAUGCGGCUGUUUACAACUCCCAUGUCACAAAACUAUUAUAUAUGUGUGGCUGUACUUGCAGAAAUGGGACACUUUGGGUUCAAAGAUCAAUUGGGUUUUGUUGGUCUUGCGAUGUUUAGCAAAUUGCUAGACGUUACUCAACUCAACAGGAGAUGCAACCAUGCAAAAUGUUGACGUGAGUGGUGAAAGGAAAGUAGUUGUUGAUCCAUUUUUACAUGAAGAGUUGUUCAUAGACCUUAUUUGCAAUGAGCAUUGCACAAUGUAAUACGAGUAGCUAGCUAAGAACGAGACAUCAACUCGUAAACUGAAGCUUCAAUUGUUUGAGAUUGUUAUUAGUGCGAAAGCUUCCAAAAAUUUAGGUGUGAAAACUGAAUCAUGUCAUUUAAGAUGUAACUAACGAUGACAGCACGAAGUGUUUUAUAGAAGUGGAGUGAAACACACGAGAUGGUGAAAUUAUAGGUACUGCCACUAGUUCAGCUGUUCAGGCAUUUCUUUUUCUUAGUGAGUGGGUUGUUUGUCCACAUGUUUGACAAGAUCAGUUUCCAUGUGAUUAGGAUUAGUUUAUGGCACCCACAGUCUUUAUUACAAUAUUCACAAAUAUCUCUUUCUUGUUUCUCCUCGUCUCUGUCUUCCCCCAAUUCUUUAUUGAACACUGACGCAAAUGUCUUCCAAGAUUCUGUAUAUAGAUCAAGAGUGAAGCUUUGUGCUCCCUAUUAUUAAAUAAAGCCUAAAUCCAAUCUCUCCAUUCCAUUAAGCUCCUUAAUGGGUGGUCACAGAAUUUUAAUUUAAAUAAUAAUAAUAAUCAUCAUCAUAAUUGAUCUUCACUUGAAAGUUUGUUGAUUGGCUCUCUUCUCUGCUCCCCUUUAUGGGGAUUCUUCUCUUUUCCCCAUGAAUUUUUUAUAAAUUUCAUUUUUGGGCUUUGGGUCUUUUUCCCUUUGCUCUAUUUGGUGUUUGGUGUCACUCUUUCUCUGUCCCUAUGCUACUACAUCUACAUGUGGGGUUCCUCACUUUUGCCUCCUCAGCGACAUGUAAGCCAUCGGUCUGUGAGUUUUGAUCUCUGGGUCUGAUUCUUGAGUCUUGAGAUGUGGUUAUCAACACAGCAGUAUACAAAGCAUGUCCUGUUUACUUCUCUGUUUCUUGUCAGCUUAUCCAUACACUCUUUGAAAUGAGCUUUUCAAUGCUUUCCUUUUUUGGGCUCUGUUGUGUGAUUUUUUACCAUACAUUGGGUGAUGAGAGCUAGGAUUUCUUGGUAAAUAUUAGAUAGAUAUAUGUAAGCACAUGUUGAAUUCUUUCUUGCUUUGGAACCAUGGAAUCUAGGAGUAGGUUUUACUUGGCCGAUGAGCUCAAGUUGGAUGCUAAAUGGCUAAUUGAUCCCAAGCAUCUUUUUGUUGGACCAAGGAUUGGAGAGGGAGCCCAUGCCAAAGUAUACGAGGGAAAGUAAGUCUGCAGCCAAUUCUCAGAUUAGUUCUUGUUCUUAACAUUAUGUUGUCCGAAAAGCGAUCAAGUAGAAAGCUUACAUACUUCUUAUUUCUUGGCAUUGCCACCUCUAUGCUGUGUUGUAUUUCUCCUUGUACGAGGAAAAUGCUUUUGACAUUUGUAAAAUUUUGCUCCCUUUUGAACAAAAUCCAGAAAUUUAUGUCAUUUUUGUGUAUUUUUAAUCAAUAAUCUGGGUUUUUUGUGGAAACUUAAUAUGCUUUUUAUGUGCCUAAAGACUAAUAAAAGUCCCAUCAUUUUGGAAAUUGUAAAACUUCCACUGGGUUACAAUCUGGCUGUUGGUAAUGAAGCCGGCUUAGGCUCGUAAACAGAUUUGAGCCUCUUGAUUGACACUGUGGUGUCUGGUAGUGUUGUAGGUAUCUCACUAUGUUUGUUCUAUUCCCUUCAGAUACAAAAACCAGACUGUUGCUAUUAAAAUUGUUCAUAAAGGAGAAACUCCAGAGGAGAUCGCCAAGAAAGAAUCACGGUUUGCAAGAGAAGUUGCAAUGUUAUCUAGAGUUCAACAUAGAAAUUUAGUAAAGGUUGGAUUUGAAUCCACGGUUUUGAGGAUAGUCAUUUUUCUUAUGUCGUUGUAGGAGUGGCAAAAAUUCCAUUUAAUGAUAAUGGUUAUAUUGUUGUGUCUAAGUAUGAUGUUGUAUUUCUAUGCGUGAACAGUUUAUUGGUGCCUGUAAAGAGCCUGUAAUGGUGAUAGUUACUGAGCUUUUAUCAGGAGGUACACUGCGUAAAUACUUGCUGAACAUGCGGCCAAGGUGCUUAGACGUUUGUGUUGCAAUUGGUUUUGCACUUGAUAUUGCUCGUGCAAUGGAAUGCCUUCAUUCUCAUGGAAUCAUACAUCGUGAUCUGAAACCUGGUAAUCUCUCUUCCAUUUCACUUUUUUACUUUUAAGGCAUAGAUAAGGAUUAAAAUAUUGGUGGAUGACUUAUAUUAUACGAGGUGCACGGUCUUUGCUACAUGGAGAUCUUUAGUUGUGGGAAUCUUGUACCAAUCCCACAUGUCUCAUCUUUGGAGCUACGGGUUUGAGAUAUUCAUAUUCUUAGUAUAAUAUCAUAUGUAAUAGAUUAUCUCCAUUAUUACAAGCAUAUGUGCUGGCAGUUGACUUUAUGGAGUUAAGUUUUCAAAGUAAUGUACUUCAAGUCACAUUAAAUUACUUGCACAUCUCUGUUCCAACUAGCAGUUCACAUAAGCAUUUGUAAGACUUCUCAAGUGGUUAUUGGGUAUUGAAAAAAUUAACAGAUUUCAUUAGUUAGUUAUUGGUUCAAUCAGCUGACCGUUCAUUCAAGCAUGAAAUCAUUAGUUAUGAUCACUUGUGAUGUCUUAUAGGAGUAGAUGUGAAUAAUAAGUUCAGUGGAAACUAAUGAUUAGGAGAAGAUGUGAGAUGCACAUUCAGAUAAUAGAGAAGCUCUCUCUUAGAUGAAUGAAAUCAUAGCGUUACUGUUUGUAUCUAUUGAGCAGACAAAAUUUUAAUGGGGGAGUAGAUCAGUUACUCAGAAGGUAAAAUCAUUUAAAUAGACAUUAAUGUUGAACUGAAA